CGUGCAGGCGGUUUGGUGAGUUGGAUGUGAAAGCUCCUGGCUUAACUGGGAGAGGUCGUUCAAUACUGCCAGACUAGAGGACGGUAGAGGAAGGUAGAAUUCCUGGUGUAGUGGUGAAAUGCGUAGAUAUCAGGAGGAAUACCAGAGGCGAAGGCGGCCUUCUGGGCCGUUCCUGACGCUAAGACGCGAAAGCAUGGGUAGCAAACG
rnacentral:rRNA from 1 species